rnacentral:rRNA from 1 species
CCUACGGGUGGCAACAGUGGGGAAUAUUGGACAAUGGGCGAAAGCCUGAUCCAGCCAUGCCGCGUGUGUGAAGAAGGCCUUCGGGUUGUAAAGCACUUUCAGUGGGGAAGAAAGCCUUGGGGCUAAUACCCUCGAGGAAGGACAUCACCCACAGAAGAAGCACCGGCUAACUCCGUGCCAGCAGCCGCGGUAAUACGGAGGGUGCGAGCGUUAAUCGGAAUUACUGGGCGUAAAGCGCGCGUAGGCGGUCUGAUAAGCCGGUUGUGAAAGCCCCGGGCUCAACCUGGGAACGGCAUCCGGAACUGUCAGGCUAGAGUGCAGGAGAGGAAGGUAGAAUUCCCGGUGUAGCGGUGAAAUGCGUAGAGAUCGGGAGGAAUACCAGUGGCGAAGGCGGCCUUCUGGACUGACACUGACGCUGAGGUGCGAAAGCGUGGGUAGCAAACAGGAUUAGAUACCCUAGUAGUC